UGGGCAACCUGCCCCUAGCUCUGGGAUAACUGCGGGAAACUGUAGCUGAUACCGGAUGUGACACGAGACUGCAUGGUCUUCGUGUGGAAAGAUUUAUCGGCUAGGGAUGGGCCCGCGGUCUAUCAGCUUGUUGGUGGGGUAAUGGCUCACCAAGGCGACGACGGAUAACCGGCCUGAGAGGGCGACCGGUCACACGUGGGACUGAGACACGGCCCAGACCUCCGUACGGGAGC
rnacentral:rRNA from 1 species